UGAAAGGAGCAGCUGUCCUUCUACAAGUGAUGGUUAGUUCUUUUAAUACUUCAUGAUAGGCUUUUUGCCUACAGUCCAUAUGGGGCACCGCAACCUAACUUGCUUAUGACAUAAUCAGCGUAUCUUAGUUUGGAAGAGUUCUGUUGUAUUAGGUUUCAUUUUCCUUUUUUUCAGGUUCUUCAGCUACCAUGUCUGUAUUCCACUUAAUAAUUUUCAUCUGUUUCCUUUUAUCAAUAAGCUACCUUGUCUUUCUUACUUCUGCGUCAUGGUGCCCACCCUCAGCCUUUCCUCAACAAACAACUCGACAAUUUGAACAGAGAACGGACCGUUUCUGGGAGUUUCAAGAGGAAUCCAACAUCUGGGUUGAAGUGAAACUUCCUUUUGAUCUUGUAUCUUGUGUUAAUGACAACUGUACAAAAGUGGGUUUGAUUGAUCAAACAUCAAAGACUGAAGAAGAGCACCUAGCAAAUGGAAAAGAUGUUUCUAACAAAACGAAGAACUUAAAAAUGAGGGAAGGUGAUUUGACGGGACUGGAGGAGAAUUCUUAUACUGUUCUACCUCUAAGAAGAAGAAUGUCUUUGACUAAAAUGUCGGAUACAUCCGUUUGGGUUACCGGUGAAAGUGGGUCUAUCUAUGAAAGGUUCUGGAAUGGAGUUCAAUGGGUGAUAGCACCACAUGACUUGCAGAUAUCAGCAGGUCGUGCAGUUUCUGUUUUGAUAGUCAAUCAGACAAUUUUUGCUAUUUCUGAGGAAGGAAAUCUAUAUCAGAUGAAACUCAGUGAUUGGGUGGAGUUGAAACCUGCAUUCAAUCAAAGUACAAACAAAGAAGCAGAACAGAGUUCAGUGAUUCAGAUGAAGUCCGGCACCGUUUCAUAUGAUGGACUGAGAGUUUAUUUCUGUACAAAGACUGGCUUGUUGUUAGAGCUCAGUGAGGUUGAGCCUCCAAGGUGGGAGAAUCAUGGCCGGCCACCAGGAGCAGAUGUUGCUGCAAUAGCUGAUAUGGCUAGAAUUAGAACAGAUGUAGUAUAUACAAUAAGUUCUACAGGUGAUCUCUAUGAAUAUGAUAAGAGCUCAAGGCCAUCAUGGAAGAAGCAUCUACAGAGUGAAGAAACAGAUAAGGAUGGUUCUCUAGUACCAUUACAGGGGUGCAUGAUAUAUGGCUUGAGUGGAGACCACUCUGUAUCCUUGUUUCUCCUAACCAAGGGAGGUAAACUGGUAGAGAGACGGCUACAUCAAAGGAAAUGGAAAUGGAUAACCCAUGGAAGUCCAGAAGAUCAUCACCUGACAUCUAUUACUCCCUUGCUUGAAGAUGAGCUGAAAGAAAGGUUCUUCUCAUUGUUUCUCACAACAUCCACUGGAUCAGUUUUUGAGUAUCAAAUACCAAAACAUUUGGGCACAGCUCAAGAGGACCAAAUUUCAGAAGCAUGGCAGAAUCAUAUGCAUCCACCGAACGCAAAAGCUGCAAGAGGUAUUCCAGGACUAAAGUUUCAACUUGGCAGGAUACUGUUUGCAUUGGAUGAUGGGAGACUUGCAGAGUUACAUCUACCUGGCCUAGGUGGUCAAAAUUCAGGGCCAACAAAUCAAUUUAACCGAAAAAAAUUAUCAUCUAAGUACAUCUGGUCAAUUUUAGAUGCCCCUGAAUCAGAAGGAUGGAAUGGAGAGUAUUGUACAGAAGAACGUGGACCAAUGAACUGCAUAGCAGGUAUAAAAGAUGAACCAAAUGAUUCAGGAAACAUCAGAUCGCUGACAAGAAGGAGAAAGGGUACUAAAGCACAACAGGAUUAUUUAUCUCUAGGUACACCCAGGAGUAGAUUAGUGAAAGCAUCAGAAGAGUAUAGGUUCCCAGAUAACUGGAUCAACACUAGCUUUCGACUGAGACUGGUGCAAGCAGGCGUAUCAUUUUUUAUUAUAACAGAAGCUGGUUUGAUCUUUGAAUACCUUUACACUGAAAGUGUAUGGCUGUGGUUAAGACAUGAUCAUUCAACACCUAUGAGAGGUGCCCUAGGAAACUACAAUGGAAGUGUAUUUUUUGUUGACGUGUAUGGAACCUUGCUUAUCAGAGAAAGGAGCAACAAUGAGCUAGCAUGGAUUAAUUGCACAGCAAUGAGAAAAGGAAGGCAAAUUAUUGGAGGUCCUCCUUGGGAUGGUAUGUCAGGUAAACUGAAAGUCACAGCAGAAGAUGCACUCUUCUUUGUCAGCAAAAGUGGGCGACUACUGCAGUUCAGUGUUGCCCUAAGGAAGUUCAAAUGGAAAGAUUGUCGCAACCCUCCAGAAACAAAACUUGCAUGCAUAAUAGACCAAGAAGUUUUUAGGGAAAAUAUAGUGUUUGUUGUUGGAAGAAAUGGCCGGCUCUACCAGUAUAACAAAGUGACUGAGUUGUGGCAUGAGCAUCACCAAUCUCAACAUUUGGUUCUAUCCAGGCUGCCAGGAACUGCUAUGAGGCCUUCAUUCUUUUCACUAACAGGUUCACUUUUCAUGCUUUCAGAAGAUGGUGGACUAGUUGAAUAUCACUGGAAUGCAUGGAAUGGUUGGAACUGGGUGGAACACGGCACUCCCAGCAAAGAUGUCACCUUGGUUGCUCCCCCUAGCCCAUGUAUCAAGGGCAAUCAAUUGUUUUUAAUAGGUUCAGAUGGAAACAUAUACCUAAGGUACAUGGACCAAUUGAUCUGGAGAUGGAAGAACUGUGGUUUCCCACAGAAUGGAGACGGAGAUACAAGAGAUCAAACAGAAAUGGGAGCAAAUGAUAGAAUGCAAGAAGUUUGCAUGGAUAACGAUCCCACAGCUAAUUUAGAUAUCAAUUUGGAGAACCCAAAUGAUCAGAACAGAAAAUGUGACCCAAAGGUUGCUCCUACAAGACCAAUUCCAUUUUCUGAAGAUUCAGUAAUAUUCGAGCUAAGAGAUGGCAGAUUGGCAGAAAUUCAGAAAGUUCAGGACUCGAAAUGGGUUUGGCAGCGGGUAAUUGGCACUCCAACAAGCUCAUGCAAGGGAAGUUAUCUGACAGGUCAAGAACGACGACGUUUUGGGGGUUGUUGUUGGUCGGAAUUGGAACCCUUAUCUUGCCUGGAUUUCUCUUCACCGCGUUUAUGUCGAAGCUUCUUCCGCCCUCCAAUUACCCUCUGAUUGCAGCCAUUCGAAACGACAGGUAUUACUGCUAUUUGGUGCCCUUAACGCUUCCCAUACUUGUGAUUGCUGUAUAUUUCCAUUGGCUUAGCAUGAAAUUAUUCAAGCAUGCAUGACAUUUGUGGAACCAACCAACAAUUUCCAGAAAAUGAUAUUUGGAAAUAAGAGCAAACCUGAGGGGUGGUUCCUUCACUGCAUAUUUCAAAUGAAUUCCCAGUUAUUGCAGGGAUUUUUUGUAACUAUCUGGUAUAUUUGGGGCAUGCCCAAGAAGGGAAAACAUGAGGGUCUUAAACUCGGUGUGGAUUUUCAAACAAGUUUUAUUGAUACUUACCUGUUGGAUUACUCUGCCGCCUCACACUUGACGGUCCCAUUCUAUCUGCGAAUGGUAUCCACCACCUUCUGGGAUCGUUAAAUUAAAUUUUGAUGGUAUGGGUUGGGUGUUGUUGCACGCAUUGAGUUUGACGAGGUUCUUGUAUUGGCGGCCAGCCCGGUUUUGCAUGCAGCAUCCCUUUCUGUUGUGGAAGGUUCGGCAAGCCUGCGAGCACUAUGUGGGUUUGCAACAUAUUAUUCUCGAAGGUGAUUUUCUUACCGUCUUGAAGAAGCUUUGGAGUACGUUGUCUGACCGGUCUGCAAUCUCCCCUGUCAUCGCGGAUGCGAAAGACUGUUAGCAAAUUUUCACUCAUGUUGGGAAGACAGGUAAUAGCUUAGCCUAUGAAUUGGCUCAAAUGGGAAGAGUUGAGGCAUCUGAGCGAGUUUGGAUGGAGGAAGUUCCACGGCAUAUAUUGGCUUUUGCUAUAUUGGCCUUUUUAUCUUUUUAAAUAAUAUUAUUAAUAUUUAAACAAUCAUACUUAUCUUCUUAUAAUAUUUAAAUAAUCCAUGACAUUUAAUA